rnacentral:rRNA from 1 species
UGGACAUCCUUUUAUACGCUCUAGAAAUAAAGUUUUUCCCUUCGGGGGACAAAGAGACAGGGGGUGCGUGGUUGUCCUCCUCUCGUGUCGAGAGAUGUUGGGUUAAGUCCCACAACGAGCGCCCCCCUUAUUCUUAGUUGCCAUCUUUAAGUUGGGCCCUCUAGGUUGACUGCCGGGGACAACCCGGAGGAAGGGGGGGAUAACGUCAAAUCAUCAUGCCCCUUAUGAUUUGGGCUACCCACGUGCUACAAUGGAUAAAACAAAGGGAACCAAACCCGCAAGGUCAAGCAAACCCCAAAAAAUUAUUCUCAUUUCGAAUUGUACUCUGCACCUCGACUACAUGAAGCUGGAAUCGCUAGUAAUCGUAGAUCAGCAUGCUACGGUGAAUACGUUCCCGGCCGAAAACCUCCGAUCAUUUUU